rfam:Eggerthia catenaformis OT 569 = DSM 20559 genomic scaffold acdBZ-supercont1.1, whole genome shotgun sequence.
AAAAGAAAUAGAGGUGCGGAAAUUAAGAAGUGACUAUUAUAUGAAUACAGUCAGAUAGUCAUAGAGGAAUAACGCCGAAGAAUUCUUAAAGCUGUAUAUGAAAGAAUUCUGGUGAGAUAGAGAAUAUCUAUAUCAUUGUCACAAAAUAUUUGUGGAGAGCUAUUGUAUAA